AUUAUAUAUUGAUAUUAUAAUAUAUCAUCUAAUUUCUUCUUUUAUUAGCUAUACACCAUGUUGAUUAGUUAAACUUUUAUCAAAUUCAAAAGUUCUAUGGAGUUUAAGGCAGUGUUCUAGUACUGCAGUUACAUAAUGUGAAUACCAUGCACUAUUUCCUUUAGUUUGGUGUACGGACAAAUGAAUCAUGCAUGAUUGCAACUUCAAAUAAUUCAUUUUUCAAAAGCAAUGUUCUUAGAAAUUUAUGCUUGAAUUUAACGGUACUACACUUUUUUUGAGAUACUCAUCAUGAUAGUCAAGGUCAACUAUAAAUUUUUCCUAUCGUCUGGAUAUUUAUCUUCUAAAGAUCAUAAUUAUUGGAAAUAAGAAUCCCAGUGAAUCUGUGCUUGUUGCUGUAAAAUUAAUUAAAUGAAAGAAGUAUUUUAGUAAUUGUGUUUGUAACAAGUUCUCUCUAUCACCUGUUGAGAUUUUUCAUAUUUAUAACAUUUAUA
rnacentral:misc_RNA from 1 species